CAGCAGCCGCGGUAAUACGGAGGGUGCAAGCGUUAUCCGGAUUCACUGGGUUUAAAGGGUGCGUAGGCGGGCAGGUAAGUCAGUGGUGAAAUCUUCGAGCUUAACUCGGAAACUGCCGUUGAUACUAUCUGUCUUGAAUAACGUUGAGGUGAGCGGAAUAUGUCAUGUAGCGGUGAAAUGCUUAGAUAUGACAUAGAACACCGAUUGCGAAGGCAGCUCACUAAACGCUCAUUGACGCUGAGGCACGAAAGCGUGGGGACCAAACAGGAUUAGAUACCCCAGUAGUCCCUGUCUCUUAUAC
rnacentral:rRNA from 1 species